UUACUAACUGUUGUGUGGAGAGUGUCAGAGCAUCUGCGUUGGCGUAGACAUUGCCGUCAACGUCAUGCCAUAAUGAUCAUACACUCUUGUGUGAGCCGUAGAACAACGACAGUUACGUUGCCGGACAUCAAACUACUGCUGGAUGGCUGACUUAACUGAGUGAUCUCAACUUUGGUCGUUUAAACAAAAAGUCAGUUGACGAAAAAUGUUGCUCGCAGCAACAACAAAAGGCGGUUAAGUGCGAGGAAAUACGGAAAACACCUACCUAAAAUUGAAAACCAUAAAAAAAAUUGAAAACAAGAAAUUGGCCAAUUAAUAUUGGAGAGCAAAAAAAAGUAUUAUCAACUACAUAAUGUAUUUGUGAAUUUCCUGGAAUUGGUGAAAAUUAUGUGAAAUUUCGUUCAAAGUGAAUUUUCAUUUUCAAAGAAAAUCUGUAAAUAAUACCUACUUUAAAGAAUUUAAGCAACAAAAUUUUUCGAGUGAAAACAAAAGGAAAAACAGCAAUGAAUGACAAGAUAAUUUGUAUGUAAAGAAGAAAAGCUUAAGAAAACAUGAAAAAAUCCCAAAAACACACAACAAAUGAAACAAGAGUUUUUGUGCCAAAGAUUACAACGAUGUGUAGGAGAUGUGUAGCCGCCAAAACGCCGAUGAAGCAGUAGUAAACAAACGAGUACAUUAACCAUACAACUAUAGUAAUUAACUUGGCUAAAAAGCGCCAACGCAAGCGGAGAAACAAAGUAAUAAAAUACAAAAAAAAAAAAAAAAUAAAUAAA